CACCUCAAUCCAAGGCUGGGCUCCUGUGGAGAAGAUUGUCUAACCUUGAGGAUGAGGUACCUUCUUUGGAAACUGUGCCAGCAGCCAGAUUAGAGAAGAAGGGGAGCCUCCACUCUCCCUGCUGCGAGCUGCACACUCCAGGAGGAUGCAGCAAUAAGGCACCAUCUUGGAACCAGAGAUGGAACCUGCUGGUGCCUUGAUCUUGGACUUCCCAGUCCCCAGAACUUCACUCAGACUGCAUUUUCUUCUUACUCUCCUGAACGAAGAGAAGAAUGACCAUCAAUGGCAAAUGGCAGCUGCAGUGAAGCAACACCUAGAGCCAGCUUCACACUCAGGAGAAAGCGCUGCACCUCCUCCUCAUGGUUUUCAGUGCUCUACCAUGUUCAGAGAAACUUUUCUAGUAACGAAAUAUAAAAAUGAUCCCUGAAAA